GUCGCCAGGGGAGCCCUGCUUGUAAGGGCUGAGAAUGCGCACUGCGCAGACCCUGGAACCUGAUCCGGUUCGUACCGGCGGAGGAAGUGCGA
rnacentral:ncRNA from 1 species